rnacentral:rRNA from 1 species
GACGAACCGUGCGAACGUUGUUCGGAAUCACUGGGCUUAAAGGGCGCGUAGGCGGGCUCACAAGUCAGGGGUGAAAUCCCACGGCUCAACCGUGGAAGUGCCUUUGAUACUGUGGGUCUUGAGGGAGGUAGGGGCGUGCGGAACUUCCGGUGGAGCGGUGAAAUGCGUAGAUAUCGGGAGGAACACCGGUGGCGAAGGCGGCGACCUGGGUAGAUACUGACGCUGAGGUGCGAAAGCGUGGGGAGCAAACAGG